rnacentral:rRNA from 1 species
UUUAGAACGUCGUGAGACAGUUCGGUCCCUAUCUACCGUGGGCGCUGGAAAUUUGAGAGGAUCUGCUCCUAGUACGAGAGGACCAGAGUGGACGAACCUCUGGUGUACCGGUUGUGACGCCAGUCGCAUCGCCGGGUAGCUAUGUUCGGAAGGGAUAACCGCUGAAAGCAUCUAAGCGGGAAGCCUACCUCAAGAUAAGAUUUCCCUAGGACUUUAUGUCCUCUAAAGAGCCGUUCGAGACUAGGACGUUGAUAGGUUGGAUGUGGAAGCAUAGUGAUAUGUGAAGCUGACCAAUACUAAUUGCUCGUGAGGCUUGACUAUACAACACCCAAGCAGUUG